GAUAUUCACAAGACCAGAGCCUUCCCUGCACUGACAGAACAUCAAGGCAAUUGGAGGUGUCUGUUCCCUUGGAGCUUCAUAGCAGAUUGCAUUUACUGCUUUUAACUUGGCCAGCACAACCUUGGCAAAUGCCGCUUGAAGUUGCAGCUUCUCUGACUCCCCAAAUGUUUUAAUGUUAAUUAUUUCAGUGCCUACAUGUUCUGUUCAGUAUUACCAGGUUGUCAAAUUGCCAUAAGGAAAUGGCACUGGACUAUGACCACUGAUCUUCUGUCCAUAGGUAUGAAUUAAUUUGCAUUAUAGAGCAACUGAAAUUAAUUUUCAUGAUAAAGCACAAACUUUAUGCUGAAAGGAGAUUUCUACACACUGCAUCUAGCCUGUUCACAGUGAUGCAGGGUUUAUGCAUGCAUGGGAAGGGACAAACUACUGCAUGUCUUGGGGUGAUCUGAGAGAAGCAGUAGCAGACAUUUUAGUCAGCAAAGACCAAUGAUGAAGGGAGAUGGAACUGACAAAUGAGUGAUCUGAUAAUAUAAAAUGCUGGAAGAUUGGAAAAACAACAAUGCUUAGGAACUUUUCAUGCACACGCUAUUGAAAUAUACCAGACUAGCUUGGAUGGCUCGGAAGUAAGAUGAAGCUUUAUUUACAGGAAAGCAAAAUUUAUAAGCAUAUCUAUAUACAAUAAUUACAGUUACAUACAAAUCAGAAAUAAUACAGAAAUCCAAACUCUCUGCCAGACAGAUAAAGCUGCCCAGAAGGGCUCAAAGCUACCUUUUCUUUCUCCCCCUACUUUCCCAGACAGACAAACAAACAGCAAAGCUGAUGUUUUCUGUGUUAGUCAAGGUUUGUAGAGAGAUACUAGAGUGGAGUGAGGGAGGAAGUGAAUAGGAGCAGCACUGCAGAACCAAGUGGGACAAAUUGUUGACAUUUUAACUUUCUAUCCCCCUCAGCAAGCCAAUAAAUGAUUUUCUUUUUACGACCAGUGAUCUGAUUUCUCCCAUUAAAAUAUUCCAGUUAGCAUCAAACCAACACAAAUAUCUUCAUUAAAAAAAAACCAACAAACCAACAAAGAUGAGUUACUUAUAAGGGAACGGUGCACAGCCCUAGUGGUGGACACCAAUCUCCGUCUUUGACAUUUCCAGGUAACUAGGAAGGAAACUGAGGAAAGAGUUUCUGGUAAGGAGUGGAAAAAAUUUACUUUAGUAAAUCUGGAAAAGUUGUGAACACCCAGUUAUUCAGUGUCCAUAUGCAGUACCUUUCUCCAGCUGCUAAAAGUGAGGAAAAGUAGGAAAGUGUUCAAAAGAUUCACUGGCAAUUAGAAGGGAAAUAUCCACUGUGCUGUGUCUGUUUCCCUUUGCCACUUCCACUUAAUGAAUGUCCUUAGAAUAUCAGCUCUGCUACUGAGCCAAAGCAAAUUCUGCACUAUGUUGGUUAGUUAUGUGUGCCCUGCAGACAGAGAACAAAAGUGCUAAUGCAUGAUUUAUGUAUCAAAGCAGCACAGUAACUGUAGUUAAGAUGCACAGUGUGCCUGUUGAAUACAAGACUGCAUCUCCAUAGACUGAA